rnacentral:siRNA from 1 species
CAUGCCACUUGUAUGGACCA